UCGUAACAAGGUCUCCGUAGGUGAACCUGCGGAGGGAUCAUUACACAACAAAAUAUGAAGGCCUGGCUUCGCGGCCGGCUGAAAUAUUUUUUUCACCCAUGUCUUUUGCGCACUUGUUGUUUCCUGGGCGGGUUCGCCCGCCACCAGGACCAAACCAUAAACCUUUUUUUUAUGCAGUUGCAAUCAGCGUCAGUAAAAACAAUGUAAUUAUUACAACUUUCAACAACGGAUCUCUUGGUUCUGGCAUCGAUGAAGAACGCAGCGAAAUGCGAUACGUAGUGUGAAUUGCAGAAUUCAGUGAAUCAUCGAAUCUUUGAACGCACAUUGCGCCCUUUGGUAUUCCAAAGGGCAUGCCUGUUCGAGCGUCAUUUGUACCUUCAAGCUUUGCUUGGUGUUGGGCGUUUUUUGUCUCCCUCUUUCUGGGAGACUCGCCUUAAAACGAUUGGCAGCCGGCCUACUGGUUUCGGAGCGCAGCACAUAUUUUGCGCUUUGUAUCAGGAGAAAAGGACGGUAAUCCAUCAAGACUCUACAUUUUUAACUUUUGACCUCGGAUCAGGUAGGGAUACCCGCUGAACUUAAGCAUAUCAAUAA
rnacentral:misc_RNA from 1 species